rnacentral:rRNA from 1 species
UACGGAGGGGGCAAGCGUUGUUCGGAGUCACUGGGCGUAAAGGGGCGCGAGUAGGCGGUGCAUCAAGUCAGGCGUGAAAGCCCCGGGCUUAACCUGGGAAUUGCGCUUGAUACUGAUGCGCUAGAGAGCGGGAGAGGAUGGCGGAAUUCCCAGUGUAGAGGUGAAAUUCGUAGAUAUUGGGAAGAACACCGGUGGCGAAGGCGGCCAUCUGGACCGUUUCUGACGCUGAGGCGCGAAAGCGUGGGGAGCAAACAGG